UCCCUGGUAGCUCAAAUGGUAAAGAAUCUGCCCGUAAUGCAGGAGACCUGGGUUCAAUCCCUGGGUAGGGAA
rnacentral:tRNA from 1 species